UCAUGCGACACCUAGCGGCAGUAGGGAGAAACGAAAUACGGAGGUCCAGUCGCCGUGUGUGCCGUAGAGGCUGCUGUCGCGGACGGAAGAAUGAAGCUGCUAGCAAAGAAAAAGCGAACGGCCAAGCAGUUCUGCUGUGUUCCUCGGUGCGUGCCAGCGAGAUGGAAGGACAGCGAUAUUUCCGUUCACGCACUUCCCUCCGAGUGGAAAGGCUGAAGCCGCAGAACCAGGUGGAUCGCUAACCUCCGCAUCGGCAAGGCUGUGACGCUUACAGUGACUGUUUGCUCACGGCAUUUUGCACGGGAUAAUUUCUCCUUACCAGCAUGUCAAAGACAGCGGCUGAAACAAAUGCAGUACCAACUGAAAACCUGCCAAGGACGUCAUGUUAUGAUGAGAACAAGGAUGCUCAUAUGAGAGAGCUUUCACUGGCAAGACUUCGCCGACAUGUGUAUCGGUCAGCCAGAGUAAGUUAAUUUGACUACAUGGUGCAGCACUUAUAUGCUUAUGGUACAUACACCAUGUCUACAAGCAUGCAAUAGAUGUCAACACCUUUUAAUGCAUUACAGAAUGAAUCAAGCAAAGAAACUGUUGCCUCCCCAUUAGAAGCAAAGGUGUUGCCCCAUGCACCUGUCAGCACGACCACCAUGGACGAUCUCCCAUCCCCUGACCGCAACAGCAUGGACCAAAUAAGUGACAAAGGAAAUAUGGUAAUUUCUUUUUGUAUAUGUAUGUGUUGUGGUAGCUGUCUUUACCUAGACGGUGGCAUGCUUUCUGGAUUUACAUCGUAAAAGCAUUGUAGCACGUGGUGUGUGAUGGGUGCACAUUAAUUGCAACUUGUGCACACAUUGCUUAACCACUGGUUUCUUGAACUGAACUCUAUCUGACAUUGCAGGACGAUUUCCCAUCCCCUAACAGCAUGGACCAAAGCCUUGCAAACACCAUAAGGGACAAGGACAUAGCAAAUAUGGCAAUUUAUUUUUUCUAUAUAUUUGUGAUGUGGUAGCUGUCUUUACCUAGCCGGCAGCAUGUUUUCUGGAUUAACUUCGUGAAAGGAUUGUGGUGUGUGAUGGGUGCAAAUUAACUGAUGCAAAAAGCCUGGCCUUCCUACUUCCAACAUUGAAUUUAAUACAUUGACGUGCAUUAUUGGAAUGACAAAAAGAAGCUGCAUUUCGCGUCAGAUAUGUCAGACAUUACAACUCUUGCUUUUGUUUUG